rnacentral:lncRNA from 1 species
AUGUCAGGCUGGAAUGAAAUCCUCAGCUCAAAUCCAGGUCCAGCAUCUCCCAGGUGCAGAAUUGUCCUGAUGUCCCCGGGUUGUCGAGCAAAUUGCUUAUUGUGUUGCUCACUUACACAAUGCAUGUUAUUAUGUGCAACCAGCUGCUCCUGUUUGGCAUUGCUUGCACAUACAGAGCAGGAGGCUACCGUCGCUUCUCUCGUCUGGAAGUCACCGCUCCCUCUCAUGCUGGAGUUGCUGCCAGACCAAAAGUCUGGCAAAGAAGCAAUCCUGGUAGGAAAGGUCCCUGAGAGACUCCUGCUCUGGUAUGAGUGAGGUUGCAGCUUUGCAAUGAGUUCGAGCUGAUCUGGCUUUGUGCUGCUGUUGAAAGCUUCCUCGUGCCUCUGCCUGCUUGUUCCCAUUGCUUUCCUUGUGCUGGCACUAGCUCUUGGGUGACUGCACGGGCAGCUGGAGCAGAGGGUUGAUUUUGCUGUUGUUGCAGUUGCCAGUCGAGUUUUCAGCUCCGUCCCUUCCCCUGUCCACCUCCAGGCUCAUUCAAGCACUAAUGCCGGCACAAAAGACAAAGCAGACACCUCUUCCAGUAAUGAGAGCAGCUUAGAUCCAUCACAGAGCCUCAUGUUGGAGACCUGUCUGCAGCCAAAGGCAGGUGGUGACCAGAGCAGGGGCAUGUAAGAACAGGAGACUCAGUCCUGCUUGGGAGAGCAGCAACUUGAGCAUUUCCCAGCAUCUCCAACAUUGACCCCUGUGUGACAGCUGUGGGCAGAAGCAUUUAUCUGUGGAACUGGAGGGCACUAGGCCCCUGGUGGGGGGAAUGGUUUCACAUCUACAGAGGCUUCAGUGUGCUCUGAGCUCAGGGCGUUAGGGUUUGGCAGCACAGGGGUUUGGGACGGAGCUGCUCCUGAUCAGGGCUCUGCAGGGCACACACAGUCUGGAAAGCAAGCGCAUAUUCCAAAUGGAAGUUGACCUCUUUAGUGUGCGGGGGUUAAACUAAGAGAACAUGAAGUGACCUCAGCCCAGAAUAAGAACAUGCACGCGGGGAUUUUUAAAAUAGUUAGCCUGCUUCAAGUCUCUAUCUUCCUGAAUUUGCAAGUAACUUCCA